rnacentral:tRNA from 1 species
GCGGGAUUAGUUAAGUGGCAUAACGGCGGUCUCCAAAACCGCGGUCGGGGGUUCGAUUCCCUCAUCCCGUG